UACGUAGGGUGCAAGCGUUGUCCGGAAUUAUUGGGCGUAAAGAGCUCGUAGGCGGCCUGUUGCGUCUGCUGUGAAAUCCCGGGGCUUAACCCCGGGCGUGCAGUGGAUACGGGCAGGCUGGAGGCAGGCAGGGGAGAACGGAAUUCCCGGUGUAGCGGUGAAAUGCGCAGAUAUCGGGAGGAACACCGGUGGCGAAGGCGGUUCUCUGGGCCGAUACUGACGCUGAGGAGCGAAAGCGUGGGGAGCGA
rnacentral:rRNA from 1 species